rnacentral:lncRNA from 1 species
UAUCCAGAAACAUUUAUAUAAACAUAUGUAAAAUUGAAAAAAAACUUGUAUUUUUAAUGCAAAAAAUUGCAUUAAAUCCAUUAGAGUUUCAUUAAAGUUACCAUUCUGAUUAUUCAUCUCAUAAAAGUUAAUACGAAUAAAAUAAAUAAAAUAAAACGAAUAAUAAUAACGCAAUAAAAGUACUUCCUCUCAUUCAUAUAAUUCUAAGUUUAUUGACAUGAGAUAAAGUAAGCAUUAUUCCCGGAAAUAUUGUACAUUCAGCGAAUCAUUAUUCGGUUCUACGAAGCACAAUGGCACCACAAAAGCCAGUCGAGAUAAAGUUAAUUACGCUUCGUUGCCUGAAUUAAAAGGAUAUGAAUUCAUUCGAAUACGGUCGGAAUAAAAGAAAUGCGCAAUUCGUCAAUGAAGAGUUAACACAAAAUUGCAACGAAAGAUUUCGCGAAUAUUCUUCUUUUCGUUUUUAUUUAGUUGAAAACCGAAAAAUAUCUCUUACAUUUGUCUCGUGUCUCGUAAACAUUCUCAUAAAUGCCACGUACAAUGUUUUACAGUGCUAUAAACCUUGACAUCGAUAAAAGCUAUUUCAACAAAAGGACAAACUCCAGGAAUACAAUAUUCACCGCAUUUUAAAUAUUUUUGUGUAAAAUCUUUAAUACAUUGCUUUAAAAUAGACAAAUUUUCUCUUUACAAAUAUAUAAAAGCAUUUUUUUUUUAAUCUUCGUGCGCUUAUUUGCAAUUUUAUGUUUUUAGAUGUAACUCGUAGACUUUUUAAGAUUUAGGGUUUACGUUGAAAGAGAUCAGCAUGAUCGCGUGGUCGAGAACCUUUCCCUUGUCUGUACAAUUUGUCUUGACGAGUGCGAACGAUCCUAAAUGCUGGAAAUGAAAUGUAAUGCGAGCCAACGACAUCCGUGUCGCACGCUACAUUCGCGUAUAUCCACACACGCCAGGGGCACACGAUAUAAGGCACUACCUUUGGCAGUUGGAUCGAUUUGUAAGGAGCGUCAAGGUAAGCCAGAGACUCUCAUUCACCUUUGAUCACCUAUAACGGCCGGGCAAAUAGCGGCCAGUUGAUUAAUAAAACGCAAACAUCUCGCAUCGAUCCGAAACCGGCUUUCCGAAAAAUUCGCGCAUUACACAACUUAUUAAUAUUGUCAAGUAUAAUAAAAUUUUCUUAUAUACGUAUAUAUUAUAAUAUAUUUUUUAUAUAUUAUAAAAAUAUAAUGAGAAAAAAAUUUAGAUGUUGGAGAUUAAAGCUGCAAAAGAGACACAAUAAUUGAUUUUAUGAAAUAAUUUAUGAAAUAAUAAGCUUCAUCAAAGACAGAAUGCGCUGCGCGCAUUUAUAUUUAAUUAUUCACACGCGACAUUGUUUUGUAACUGAAACUAGAAUUGUAACUGAAAUGUCAUAUUUCCAGACAGAUAUAUUUUUUCUUUUUCUUUACGGAAACCGCAAUAAAAGUAGAAUUAUUGAAAAUUUUCAAUGAAAGGCAAAAUUGCUUCGAUCUUGGUUUUGUCGAAAUUUUCGUUUAGUAACAUUAAUUUGUGUCCACAUUUUAUUUGCCAGGUGUACACCUGCGAAACAGUUCUGCUCCCGCGAAUUCUGUUGGCGCGCUGUAGAAUCGCACGGGUGAGAUGCGUGAGAGCGCGUUAUGAAUGAUCGAUCGCUGGCCACUUUCGCUCUCUUUCUCCUCUCUGUCAGCCUCUCUAUGGUCUCGUCGGUGCUUCACUUAGGCGUUCACGUCGGCGCUUUCGGGCACCUGUGUCGUCGCAUGCUCAUACAAACAAGCGGUUAUCCGAUAGUCGAUCGUUCAUCGGACUGCGCAAUUCCUUGCUAGAAUAUGCGGCGAAGUAUCUCGAUGUGAAAACAUCAACGAGUUGAAAAAAAACCUAUCUUUUUCCUUGAUCAUUUGCGUGUCACACGUUGGCAAAUCCGAAAGAUAAGUAUAUGUUGGCCGUUUAAGGAGACACGUCGACUGGCUUUCCCGCAAGAGUGAAACGGAUGUGUCCGAUAGUGGGGUCGACCACCAGUCGGGGUAACGGACCGUAAGUGUACAAUGAUCCAUAAUGACAAAGCUAAUCGUUACAAAUUCGUUUAAUGAGCAUUACUUGCACGACGGAGAUCCCUUGGAAGUUCCCUCGCAAGCUCUCUUUUUAAUCGCCACUCGGAAGAAUCCAGGCCACUAUCACUUUGCCCCUGAUUCACGUGCAACGCGCACCGUGAAUCACCGCAAUCGUCUACAACGUUCGUCUCUUGCGAUCUUACAACGAAAUGAACCGUGCGGCAAGUUAAUUCGCGCUUAAUUUGGCCCUCAAGGUUCCUCCUGCUCGUUGUUCCUUCGCGCUCGAAACUUUCCCACCGGUAGAAAUCGAUCGGAGAGCCACGGACCGACUGGCUACUGCACUCGUAACAUUCGCGGCAUGACGAGGAGCAUCGAGGGCUGCCAGCAACCCCUCGAGCUGUUCCGGCUUUCUUUUCGCGCCCCAAGAUGCAGCUGUCGCAGCGAUACCGCCGACAGCUGCGCGACCGGCAGCACGCGUACCCCUCCUCGUUUAAAUUGAACAUCUUUGCUCGGGACAACCGCCACCUGCCCCCGGACUCCGACGUAUACGCACUCGUACGCACAUGCGAACGCUCGCACGUACGUACGUACGGUAUACGAGAUAGUACAGGCAUAGACGUAGCACGUGGUCCGCGAGUUCUAUGGACUCGCUGGACGAGUUAGGAGAUGAAUUAUGCCCGCCACGCAAAAGAGCACGCCGAUCUGUCAAAGACAAGUUCGCGAGAUCGUUGCACUUGGCCGGAACGAAAUGCACGACUACUGUUGGGUCUAUCCAGGUAUUCACGUUGAGACAAUAUAUUAACAACGAAUCAUCUUGCUUUUGCUAAUUAUAUGACUUACGCGAUGCGAAAAAAUUUUGUAGCGAGAUCAGAAAUAAUUGUAUUCUGUUGAUAAAGAAUAUGGAGAUAAUUAUAUGACUCACGCAAUGUGAAACAAUUUUGUAGCGAGAUCAGAAAUAAUUGUAUUCUGUUGAUGAAGAAUAUGGAGAUAAUUAUAUGACUCACGCGAUGCGGAAAAAUUUUGUAGCGAGAUCAGAAAUAAUUGUAUUCUGUUGAUGAAGAAUAUAGAGAGCUAGUAUGCCAAGAGAUUAUUUUCCAUUCGAGUUCCUCUGAAACGUACACUCUGCGAUUUUCUUGGCUGCGAAACAAAAUAAAAAUCGUAUACAAUGAAUCAAAACAUGUAGUACAUGCUUUGACGAUUGACAACGAUGCCAGAAUAUUCAUGUAGCUUCAUUUAUUUAUCAUAAUCUGUUAUAUUUUAAUAUAACUAUAUCUAAUAUGUGUAUAGUUAAUAUAAUUAUUGUUGCUGAGGGCACGCCUCGUUUCCUGGCGCAAGAGAUCUCUCGGGAAGAAGAGAAAUUGCACGCGCUAUAAAUAUCGGGUUAUUUGCGAUAUGCAUCUCGUGUACGAAGGAAUGUGCAUGUGGUCGCACGUGCGAGAAUACGGAUUUACAGAAAAAGAGAAAGGGAGAAAGGAAAUUUCGAAUAAGAAGCGCAUCCGCGAAAUAUGACGUCGACGAAUCAUUACGUCCGAAAAAGGCAGACGCGACAUGUUAUUUCCUGCCAUGAGCCCAGCGAGUCUCUUUCGGCCAUGUGAGAAUUAUAAACGACCUCGCAGGAAAUUACGACCGUAAAGGACACGUGUGUUGUGCUAAAGUGUGUACAAAUUUAUUCAGUCCUCUAUAUCUCGGAAUAUUCUGCUCAUCUCUGGAGAGACGAUAAAAUGGUAAAAGCUCGAAAUUGCUACUUUUUGAUAACUAUUACAGCGUAUAUUAAUCAACUUUUUUAAAUUUCUCGAGGAAAUUGUGGCUACAAAAAUUAUUGCAAUAAUAUUUAUAAGUUGUUUUAAAAGAUAUAUUUAAAAGCUACUUUACUCAAUUAAUAAUCAUUCAAAUUUGAGAAGUGAGUAUCUCUGUGCUAAUUGAUACCUGCAAGUCGAUUAACAAACGAACAGUGACAAGCAAUUGCACAUAUUCAUGUUUAAUGUAUACAAAUUACAGUAGAACGCAUAGGAUUGGAAUAACUUAGCUUAAUUCAAUUUAGAAACUCGCUAUUCAACUUUAAUAGAAUUAUUAUUAAUUAAAUGUGCACACACGCGCACGCAAGAAAUAUAAUAGCUAUUAGUACACUUGGAAAAUAUUAUGCUAUAUUUCUAUUAUUUUCUCUUUCUAUCUCUUCCUCUCUCAUAUGAAAGUACUGGUCAAGGCUACCGAUAAUACUAAUUGAAAAAUAUACGCGUGCUUGGAUAAUAAAAAAUAAAGAUUUAUAAAAUUAUGUUGCUGCGGCAAAGUCGCAAUAAUAAAUAGAAAAAUUAAUAUAACAGUUAUCAUCGCUCUCCUACGAGAAUUACGUCACCCACACAUACUUUUGUGUACGUAACUGUAUAACUGUAUAUGCUGCACUAUAUUGCACAUGUAUUUUAGUAUAUUUUACAAAUCUCGUAAAUGUUUCACGGACGCGUAAUUACUCGAUAGUUUGAAACUAAACCAUAAUAUUAAAACUUAACGGUUCUGAGAAUUUCCGAGAGAAAUAACAACUCUUACGAUGAAAAAUAAAUUAAUCAAUCAUCAUCAAGUCAAGAAUUCAAUUUAAUUUGUUUUAUUGUCAAAAAGGCUAUAGAAAACGAGAUAAAAACAUUCACAAACGUAUCUCGCAUUAAAUGCUUUAAAUAAUGUAAUCAUCAUAAUCAUGAUUAUUUGUAAGCCGCGUAAGUCGCUCACGAAUAAAUUGCAUUUAUCAU